rnacentral:rRNA from 1 species
AGCGAACGCUGGCGGCAGGCCUAACACAUGCAAGUCGAACGAACUCUUCGGAGUUAGUGGCGGACGGGUGAGUAACACGUGGGAACGUGCCUUUUGGUUCGGAAUAACUCAGGGACACUUGUGCUAAUACCGAAUGUGCCCUUCGGGGGAAAGAUUUAUCGCCAUUAGAGCGGCCCGCGUCUGAUUAGCUAGUUGGUGAGGUAACGGCUCACCAAGGCGACGAUCAGUAGCUGGUCUGAGAGGAUGACCAGCCACACUGGGACUGAGACGCGGCCCAGACUCCUACGGGAGGCAGCAGUGGGGAAUCUUGCGCAAUGGGCGAAAGCCUGACGCAGCCAUGCCGCGUGAAUGAUGAAGGUCUUAGGACUGUAAAAUUCUUUCACCGGGGACGAUAAUGACGGUACCCGGAGAAGAAGCCCCGGCUAACUUCGUG